AUUGAACGAUGGCGGCAGGCCUAACACAUGCAAGUCGAACGAGUGGCGGACGGGUGAGUAAUGUCUGGGAAACUGCCUGAUGGAGGGGGAUAACUACUGGAAACGGUAGCUAAUACCGCAUACCAUCAGAUGUGCCCAUAUGGGAUUAGCCAGUUGGUGGGGUAACGGCUCACCAAGGCGACGAUCCCUAGCUGGUCUGAGAGGAUGACCAGCAAUACUGGAACUGAGACACGGUCCAGAAGCCUACGGGAGGCAGCAGUGGGGUAUAUUGCACAAUAGGCGCAAGCCUGAUACAGCCAUGCCGCGUGUAUGAAGAAGGCCUUCGGGUUGUAAAGUACUUUCAGCGGGGAGGCGUUACCCGCAGAAGAAGCACCGUCUAACUCCGUGCCAGCAGAAGGGGUAAUAG
rnacentral:rRNA from 1 species